CGCCACCGCUCCCCCGCGCCUGUGCGUCACACGGGUUAUAUAUUGUCAAAUUCAAUAUAUCACAUUCCUGCCAGCCAUUUUUCCUAUGCCACGUGAUGGUUUUUCCUCUGGCAACCUUCGCAAUGGGAAUGUCUUAAUCAAAGAUUUAAGUCCCAGCAAUCACGAGUGGCAUCACUAGGAUACAAAGAGUGGCUGUCGCUCUGCAGAUGGCUCACAACUUGGCGGUGCAUUCUACAGGCACCGCUGCUUCUGCCACCCAGGUCAUAGCAUCGGCAGGGACAUCAACUCAACCUACAAAUGCCAGACCGUAUCUUAUACCUGCCGUAACGGUGUGGACUCUGGUCUUCCUUCUGUUGCUGCUGGUGCUUCUGUACUCGUGCCAUCGCCACUGCUGCCACAACAGUGAUUGGUGCUGUUGGAGGAGACUCAGAAGUAUUUGUAGCCGCAGCGGUGAAGGUGGUGGUGGAAGGAGUAUCAGAGAGGGUCACCCUACGGCACAGGGGAAGGAAGGCUCGGACGAGACGCUGCACCCUGCUGCUGGAGAAACGCGCCCCGUGGAGCUGGAGAUGAGUGAGAUCGUGUAUGCAAGCCUUCAAACGGAGCCUCUCCCUCCUGGCACGCAGGCUCACGGAGCUCCCGUAGAGGACGUGACAACGGUGUAUGCGACUAUCGUGGCAUUCGGUGGGGAGAACGAACUUCCAGACUGAAGGAAUGAACCGGCGUGCAUCACUAAGUGGCGGUGACAUCACCACGUGCGCUUGUGCUAGGCUAGGUGCACUUUGAGGCCAUCACGUGAAGUGUUGAAGUCCCGAUGGCAGGGGGUCACGCGACAGACCCAGCAGGUACCAUGGGUUUGACUGACUGAAACGACUGGCAGAUGCACCAACUGUCCUCCCCACUGUGCCAGGCUAGGUGCAGGAGGUUAUGAAACAGACCCAGGUGCCAUGGGUUUACUGCUGUGCCAGGCUAGGCGCAGGAGGUCGCGGAACAGAUCCUGGUGCCAUCGAUUUGACUGAGUUGGCUGGCAGAUGCACCACUGUACCAACUCGGUGCAUUUUAUCCGCCCGGCGCUCCGCUCGUUGUGAGCGAUAUUCAUUUGCCGUCUGUAGUUGCUGAAGGGCGAUCCCUCACCUAGCCAGUGUCAAGCCAUUGUCACGCCGCAGUUGAAGAAGGCUGGAGCAGACACUUCUGACGUGAAAACUACAGGGCGAAGCCACUAUAAAUCUUGUGGCUAUUCUUGGGCGUGAAAAAAAUCUCAUCCCGAGUCUGCAGUCAGCAUGCCAGCGAGGUCACUGAAGAGACAUCACUCCUGAAGUUUAACCACGACACCUGCAUGGCAGCCACCUACACAGGGCCGGAUUGAGGUUCUUGUAUGCCCUCGGUACUUCUGUUUCGUAGGCCUUCGGCGAUAACUUUCUACAGCUGGUACUGCUGCUCAUGUUACUACCUCCGCUGCAACUCCGCUUGUUUUAAGCGAUACUUCAAAUUGUGAAAGGGAGCCUUCUUUUUCGAAGCUAAAGCUGAUUAAAAAAAUAUCUCUACAACCAACCGUAGGACAAAAACGCUUGUCUUCCCUUUGCACUGCUCUCUAUUGAGAAUGAGAUUGUGCUAAAACACCAUUAUAAGAUGUUAUUUGCAAAUUUAGCAAUUCAUCUCACCUUAUUCAAAAACCGACUGACACGACUGCCUCUUUGUAUAUACAUUAUUCCUACCCUUGCUAUAUAAAUAUAUUUGUUCAAGAAGAUACCUUGGUUAAAAUUGUUAUCAUACAAACAACAAAACAACAUGGUCAACAUUUUUAUUCGUGGACCCUUUAUUUUUCGUAGGCCCCAGGCACUUUGCCUACUGUGGCCUAUUUGAUAAUACGGCCCUGUACCCACAGUAAAGCCGUCUUACCGGAUCUGUGUGAUUCGGUUUGACAUGGACGAGCUUGACACCUCGGGUGAUCGCCUGCAGAGCACAUCCGGACUUAUGGGUGCCGUGACCUCACGGACUGAAGUCUUCACUGCGAGUCGGCCACAUGCGGUGUGACAUUUGCCCGAGGCCAGUCAAUGAGACUACAGGUGUCACGCGAUUCCCCGCAAGGAAGUUGAUUCAGUCCAGUGUGCUUCACCACCAGAUGUCACGGUAUCAAACUAAACUAGUUUUAUUUUUCUCUCCGCCUAAAGACGACUGCUUGUGUUGCAAUCUAAACGUCGUCGUUUUUUAUUUUUUUUUUUAUAAAUUUGAAUCUAUCUACGUGACUUUACCGAAAGACCCAAAGAAUAGGUAAAGCCCACUGAGCUUUCUAGCUCUUGGCCACAAGUGAUGGCUCGAUCAAAGUGGCCUAUCAUUACGUUCAAAUGGAAAGAAGACAAAUACUCUAAAACGCGUGAUUGUUGAUUGUAAAUGUGGAGGGGAAAAAAAUUGGAAGACCCGGAUAAAAAUCCAUGUGAGCACGGGGAGAGACACUGCAAACUCCAAGUGUACAGCAGGCGUCAAGGUCGGGAUCUAACCCACAACCUACUGUAUACCAGGCGAGGGAGUUAAUAUCUAGCAACAGCUUGCUCUCGUACGCCGGACACACAACUCUAUAUGCAGUCGUAUGGCUCGCAUAUUCCACACCUGAUAUCAGAAUAUGUAUUUAUCCUGUAGAUACCCAGAUAAGCUACUGAGGAUCGUUUUCAUGUCCAGUUGGGGUACGGGGUCAGAGCGUUAAAACAAAAAACAAUACAAAUAAAAUAAGAUACCAGAGCAAAGCAUCGAAAAGGAAAGCAAAUUACAAAAAAUACUUAAAAUAGAUAAACGUAAAGCACGUGUGUAUGUCCGUUGAACUUCGUUCGCACCAACCACUGCACAACGAUGGAUGGAUCAAAGUUAUCAGAACACCACCUAACGUGAGUUGCCGAAUGUCAGCUCAACGUUGACAAGGACGCCGAUACACAUUUACGCUCGUAAACAUAAAAAAUUGAAUAAGUAAAAACCCACAUGAAGCUGUCCAAACACAGCUUACAACGCGAACGGCUCUGCUUCCAAGUCGCCUUGUCGGAGAGUGAUUGCAGACUCACGUCUUUUGCUGCGAUACAGCGGACAUCUAUUAAAUUCCCUUUCGUAACACUCCGUUUUGGGAAUAAGGGAUUGCGCAAAAAUCCGUGGCCUAUGCAAGAAAUAACCUCAGUUAUUUGGCUGUCUAAUGGAGGCAGGCCUACGAUACGAUUAUUGGAUCGGUUAUAAUCAAUUAUGUUCGAGGACACCGAUAACCUCUCUGAAAGAACCUCAGUGAGGAAAGCUUGCACAUAGUCUCAGUGAGGACAGCCUGUACACAGAGACUCAGUGAGGUCAGCUUGUGUAAUGUGAGGUUACACCUGGAUGAUAAUGAUAGGCUCUGCCGGCCUCAGCCCGCAACCAAUGGGGAGUCGAGCCAGGGGCGUGGCCCUGGAGCUGGACAGUAUCUUCUGGAAAGUUCCAGGAGUGUGGCUGAGGAUUAGCUGCGUGGUAUCACGUGGGCCAGGGAUUAUAAGGGGUGGAGAAAGACAGCACGUGGUCAGUGUGUGUAGGAAC